UACGUAGGGGGCGAGCGUUGUCCGAAGUUACUGGGCGUAAAGCGCGCGUAGGCGGGGGAUUAAGUGAGAGGUGAAAGGCUGGGGCUCAACCUCAUGCAGUGCCUCUCAUACUGGUUCUCUUGAGGGCGGUAGGGAGAAGUGGAAUGGCUGGUGUAGCGGUGAAAUGCGCAGAUAUCAGGAGGAACACCGGUGGCGAAGGCGGGUCUCUGGGCCGUAACUGACGCUGAGAAGCGAAAGCGUGGGGAGCGAACAGG
rnacentral:rRNA from 1 species